rnacentral:rRNA from 1 species
ACGGAGGAUCCAAGCGUUAUUCCGGAAUCAUUGGGUUUUAAAAGGGGUUACCGUAGGCGGUUUAAUUAAGUCAGUGGUGAAAUCUGGUCGCUCAACGAUCAAACGGCCAUUGAUACUGUUAGACUUGAAUUAUAAGGAAGUAACUAGAAUAUGUAGUGUAGCGGUGAAAUGCUUAGAUAUUACAUGGAAUACCAAUUGCGAAGGCAGGUUACUACUUAUGGAUUGACGCUGAUGGACGAAAGCGUGGGGAGCGAACAGGAUU